ACUCCAUGAUUUGGAUAUCGACACUGCAAAUCUUUAAAUUGCUCCCGCUUCAUAUAAAGAUUCACCAUGGUAUUGAGUGAGACUCGUGAUCUCUGAUUUAAAUUU
rfam:Ricinus communis cultivar Hale ctg_1100012330145, whole genome shotgun sequence.